AUCCAACUGACGGAUCCCGUAUAGGAUGAAACGCGCAUCUUGGAU
rfam:Schistosoma haematobium scaffold325_29, whole genome shotgun sequence.